rnacentral:pre_miRNA from 1 species
UCGGAGUUAGUUACAGUUCAGUUCUACUUUAGAAGGCAUUUGAAUAAUAAAAUGCAUUCAGAAGUAGAACUGAACUGUAUUGAUGACAUAAUUCGA